UACGUAGGGUGCGAGCGUUGUCCGGAAUUAUUGGGCGUAAAGAGCUCGUAGGCGGCUCGUUGCGUCGGCUGUGAAAACCCGCAGCUCAACUGUGGGCUUGCAGCCGAUACGGGCGGGCUGGGAUUCGGUAGGGGAGACUGGAAUUCCAGGUGUAGCGGUGAAAUGCGUAGAUAUCUGGAGGAACACCGGUGGCGAAGGCGGCGUUCUGGACUGUUUCUGACACUGUAAAACGAAAGCCAGGGGAGCAAACGGG
rnacentral:rRNA from 1 species